CUACCUACCUGGCCUUGGGAUACCGUGAUCAUGCAGGCGGUUCCCCGGGGUGCGGCUGCUCCAUUGCACUGCGGAGUGGUUGAUCCUUGCGAUUAUUUAAUCGUUUUUCGCUUUUAUAAUUUUUAAUAUCUCUAUAUUUUAUGUAAUUUUAAUUUUAGC